rnacentral:rRNA from 1 species
UGAUACGUAGGGUCCGAGCGUUGUCCGGAAUUAUUGGGCGUAAAGGGCUUGUAGGCGGUUUGUUGCGUCGGAAGUGAAAACUCAGGGCUUAACCCUGAGCCUGCUUCCGAUACGGGCAAACUAGAGGGAUGCAGGGGAGAAUGGAAUUCCUGGUGGAGCGGUGGAAUGCGCAGAUAUCAGGAGGAACACCGGUGGCGAAGGCGGUUCUCUGGGCAUUUCCUGACGCUGAGAAGCGAAAGCGUGGGGAGCAAA